rnacentral:rRNA from 1 species
AUACGGAGGGGGUAGCGUUGUUCGGAAUUACUGGGCGUAAAGCGCACGUAGGCGGAUUGGAAAGUUGGGGGUGAAAUCCCAGGGCUCAACCCUGGAACUGCCUCCAAAACUAACAGUCUAGAGUUCGAGAGAGGUGAGUGGAAUUCCAAGUGUAGAGGUGAAAUUCGUAGAUAUUUGGAGGAACACCAGUGGCGAAGGCGGCUCACUGGCUCGAUACUGACGCUGAGGUGCGAAAGCGUGGGGAGCAAACAGGAUUAGAAACCCUAGUAGUCC